GCUGCAUGAACUCACUGUCUUUUGUCACUGGUCUGUCUCCAGAACCGUGACAUGUGACCUUACAGGAUUCAAAGGAGCAUCUGUAAAAUGCUCUCAGGCGCAAGGGGUUGUCUUGGGACGGUCCUGUGUAGGGCCAGGAGCUGGUCUUGAUGAUCCUUUUGUGUCCCUUCCAAUUCAGGAUGUUCUAUGAUCCUAUGAAAAAAUGGUCUGAUGAGACUAAGGAAUCCUAAACCAGCUGUUAAUCAGUACAGUACUGAAGAUGAGGAAAUACUUAUAGGUGUGCAUCAGUUUCUUCCCAUUGCGUCUUGUCCUACUGCCUGGCACCACUGAGAAGAGCCUGGAUCCAUCGUCUUGAAACCCUCCCUUACGCACUUGAUGAAGUUCCCUCUAAGUUGUCUUCCUGAGGCUGAACAGACUCAUCCCUUUCAGCCUUUCCGUUUAAAAGAGACGCUCCAGUCCCCAAUCAGCUUUCUUGCCCUCUACUAGAUCGUCUCCUGGAGCAGAUUGUUAUCCACCAGGACCCCAAGUCCUUCUCCACAGAGCUGCUUCCCAUAAAAUCUGCAAAAGCAGUCAGAUAUUUUAGUGAAGAAGAACUGUGUGUUUUUUUGUCUGCUACAACAUAUACAGAAACACCAGCAGCAGCAGCAGUGGCUAAGACAGUCAAGCAGCAGCCUAGAGCCUUGUCAGAACCUGAGCACUGGUCAGCACUGGGAGCACUCUAGGAGAUUUAAAUGGCUCCAGGGGGCACAGAGUGGGAGUGUCAUUCCAGAAGGACAUGACACUUUGCACAGGAAUGGCAAGCAGUAUGGUAUGGUCUCCCUCCCAUCAGCCCAAAAGAGUUCAAGAAUGGCUCCUAUUCUGCAGGGUUCUAAACCAUCUACAGCUCACAGGUCGAAAUCCCUCCUGCCAAGGGGAGGCAUUAGAACAGUCAUGUGUAUGCCUGAAGAUAUUCACCCCUUCUGACAAGGCGGAAUUGGUUCAGCUAUGGUGACAUGAGAAACAGCUGUUGUAUCGAGAAUGGGUCAUGAGCCAUCAAAGACUCCCAAAAGGCCUCUAGACCCAUUUCUUGGGCUCUGCAGCAGAGGACUGUGCAUAAUCCAUAAUGUUGCAUGGUGUUGCAUCAGACAGUGUAAAACCAUUUCCUUACCAAGGGUGGUACCUGGACCUUCCCAUCUGAACCUGAAUGAAUAGUAACUGAACUUUAUUCACCCAGUACUGAUGGAGCAAGACUUCAACCAUCGCUUCGACCAAAGGACAUUGAAAUUGCAACAAAGAAAUCUCUUUGCUCAGUCUGUGAGUGGCAAUGACUUUCCUCUCCACUAUCUACUCUUAUUUAUUUAUUUUCCAUAUAUAUUUUCUUAUGCAAAAUCUUACACUUCUAUAUUUCUACAUUUCUAUAGCUAGUAACCAGAAAGGCUUCAUACCUCAUUUCCAUUGCAAUCAAAUUGUUCUAAAGUAAACCUGCUAUCUAUGUAUCUAUCUAUCUAUCUAUCUAUCUAUCUAUCUAUCUAUCUAUCAUCUAUCUAUCUAUCUAUCUAUCUAUCUAUCUAUCUAUCUAUCUAUCUCUGUCAUGUAGAGAUAAAUAGAUGAUGGACAGAUGAAUAGAUGGAUGGAUGGAUGAUAUUUAAAAACUGGUCAUUCAGCAUAAUUUCAUGAUAAUCUGCCCCAAGCGACCCACUUUAAAAAGAAGGUAAAUUACAUUGCCUUCACUCAUGGAUCGAAUUAUGGUGGCAAAAUUAAAAUAUAACAUUUUUACUCUGAUAAUUUCACUCUCCAAUAAUUGAAUUACUUUGCAAAUAAAGGAUCUCACAUUUUUCUGGUACUUUAAAUUUCAUUAAAUUAAAACAAACAAACAAAAAACACAUAAAAAAUCAGGAGAAACAUAGGAAGAAAAUCCCCAAAACCUAGCCAAAAAUGACUCCCUACCAGGUCUAUCAUACUUUCCCAUCUUGGUUAAAGUUUGUGCUUUUGAGGGAGAGAGCUUUUAUGGUUUGUUUGGGGCUUUUGUAAUAGAUAAUUUAUCAGGAUAUUAUUUGUUGUUUAUUCCCAAAUUGUGGAUUUUGCUUGUGUUCUAGAUGUUAGCCCUCAGAAUGCAACUUUGGGUCAUUACACUGUUAUAUCUCAUAACUUCUGAACUGUAAUUUGAUAAUAGCUGCUAUGCCAUUCAGGUGAAGAAAUUGAAUACAUCUGCUUGUUUUGAUCAAAAUGCUGCAGCAUUCUUUUGCAGCUAGAAUGAGAAUUCACUCUGCAUUCAGAAAAAGAGAAAUAAAGAGUCCAUAACUAAAGUAGGUGCUAACUGUUAUUUUCUAGAUUGCUGAUAUGGGGGAUAUUUAUUUCAGAUUAUAUGGUAUUGUCCCAAUCCAGGGAUGCAUUCUAAACCAUGAACAUGGAGCAGAGGGAUAGUUUGACGAUAUCCAGUGUGAGAUUAAUACACAAAUGAGAUCAAACAUUUAUAAUCAAAAUGGUAUUUCACUUUUAUUCAUUUUAAAAGAGAGCAAGGAGAAAAUAUAGAAAAGUAUGGAAAAGUGAAGAAUUACAAAAACUGAGAAAGGUAGUAACCACCAGGAAUCUGUGGCAUCCUAUGAAGAUCCUUCUUUCCUCUGUUGGUGGGUAGAGCUCUGUUGGGACCUGCUGCCCAUUCAUUUCUGUCUUGGCUGAGCACUGCUUUGUGGCACUGGCUCAGCAGUUUCACUGCAGUGGGGGGGGCAUGACAAUGGCACGUUAAUCGAGGUUCAUCACAUUCCCAGAAUAUGCUCAGUUGUGCACAUGCAGGUUGCUCACCUGUAAUGGUGGGAGUGUGUUCAUCUUUGCUACCUUGGGAGGUCGUGGCCCAUUACUGACGGAAUGAUCAUGGCCCAUUAUUACAUUGGGUCUUCAACUACAGAUCUUAUCAAGGGCAAACGGGAAAUAGCAAAUGGCAAUUGCAAAAUAAGUCACUCUUUAACAGUCCUUUACAGGCAGUACAGUAGCACUGAAGCUGGAUAAGGAGAAAAGAAAAAUAUAACUCUUUUAGGAGAAUAUGGUUUUUCUUCUACAGUGAGGGCAUUUUGAGUUUCCAAAAAGGCAAGGUCAUAUAGAUGAACCUAUGCAAAAUGUCAUGUUGGCACACAAUUGUACCUGAUUUCUUUGGGGUUGGGUUUUUUUUUAUUUGUUUGUUAUGUUUGGUAUUUCCUUUUCCUUUUCCUUUUCCUUUUCCUUUUCCUUUUCCUUUUCCUUUUUUUUCCUUUUCCUUUUCCUUUUCCUUUUCCUUUUCCUUUUCCUUUUCCUUUUCUCUUUUCUUUUUAACAGGUAACCUUAAUGGCACCAUUAAUCAGAGGGAAUUGACAUAGUGAUGUUUUGAAGUUUGGUGUUUUGAGUCCGAAUUUUAAUAGUUCCUGUGUUGUAUUGAGGAAUAACUAAGAUCUGAAAGUGCUAAUAGACUGUAAAAAAAGCCCUAAUCAUCUGUGUCCAUUCCUUUAUCACACAAUUUUCUUUAGAGUUGUAUAUAAAAUGUUCCAUCAGAUGACUGUUGAUUUUCUUCCACUGCUGAAUUGUAUUUUCUAUCAAUUUUGUAUGCAACAUACAAGUAAUACACAAUAGGAAUGCAGUCUUCUGCCUGGAAAAGAGAUCAAAUAUAACUGACAACCAAGCUAUGCACAUAAAAGUAUGUCAAACAAGUUAUAUGUUGUAAAUUGUUUCUAUAUGUUUUUCAGUUAUAUUUAGUUAUAUUAUAGAUAUGCAUUUUCCUUUAACUACACCCUUAAGUGUCCUUAAAAAAACCCAUUCCACUCCAGAGGAUGAGAAUACCAAGGUCUCACUCAAAGAAUUUGCAAAUGCCAAGAAUCAGUUCUGCAGCAGAAAGCCAAUCCAGUUCAUAAAGAAUAUAAGUUUUGACUAUAACAUUAUCAAUGGCACCAUUGUUGCAGUGUGUUGUCAUGGUGUGCCUCAGUUUCCAUCAUCCCUCCCCUGAGGUUUCCUUCCCAAGGUGGUGUGUCAAUCACCUCUCCUUUCCCCCACCUUUGACCCCUGCUGGGCACUGUCUAUCAACCCAGAAAUUCCAGGGGAGCAUCGAGUGGUUGGCAGGCUCAGAGGAUGCUCUCCACCCCUUGGGGGGCUAUUGACCCAUCCCGGUGUCCCUCUCACCUGAGGCCUCCUCCCCCCAUACUUGGUUGAUGGUCCCUAUGUUCCCUCUCCUUCCCCCUCUCCCCCAGGUUAAAAGGGUGGGCACAUCAUGCGCUGAGGGGUUCUGGUGGAGAUGGUACUGGAUUCAGAGGCCUUGUGGCCCAGAAUAAAAUCUCUGGAUUAUCCCUCCAUGAGGACCAAUUCCUUCUUCACCACCACCUUACAAGGUUUCUCCAGCACAGGGAGGCCCGAGGAGUGACCCUCUUCUACCAAAAAGCCUCAGCCUGUAAGCACUGGAGCUCGGGACAUGCCUGGACUUGUCCCCACGUGCUCAUAGCUAUCCAGAGCAUCUCGGGGGUGCAGAACACCACAGGUGCCGCUCUUUGGCUCAGCAGCUGGGACCAAGCAGGCCAAGGCAGUGCCAUUCAGUAAUAGUGGUAAACUCCAAUACACCAUGUUCUCUUUCUACUAGUCUACAGACUUCUCUCCCUUUGUUUUUGGAAAUAUUUUAUAAGUAGCAACUGUGCACAAAAUGAUGCUUAGUAGUAAGGUAAGGUUUCAAAGUUAAGGUAUCGUAGCUUAUAAGAAACAAGAACAAGAAAAAAAAAAAGAAACUAAACCAACAACAAAAGGACUAGCAGCCAACCAACCUAGCUCUUAAUGUUAUCAUUUUAAUUUCCUCUUGAUGGAAACAUUACAACCUUGCUUUUCAUGUUGGCAUAUGCAGUCAGGAAUGUGACCCUUGGGAUUUAUGAUAUCCUAUUUUCCAGAUAUCCAGAGAAAGGCAGAGAAAGACAACAAAGCUGGGACAGGGUCUAGACAUUAAGUCCUAUGAGAAUCAGGUGAGGGAGCUGGGGGUGUUUAGCCUGGAGAAGAGAAGGCUCAGGAGUGACCUUAUCACUCUCUACAGUUGGCUGACAGGAGGUUGUAGUCAGGUGGGGGUUGAUCUCUUGCAGGCAGCUAGUGACAGGACAAGAGGACAUAGACUUAAACUGUGUCAGGGGACAUUUAGGUUGGGUGUAAGGUGGAAUUUCUUACAGAAAAGGUGAUUAGACAUUGGAAUGGGCUGCCCAGGAAGGUGGUGAAGUCACCAUCCCUAGGGGUGCUUUAGAAAAGACUGCAUGUGUCACUCAGUGCCGUGGUCUUGUUGACAAAGUGGUAUUCAGUCACAGGUUGGACUUGAUGAUCUCAGAGGGCUUUUCCAACCUAAUAGAUUCUAUUAUUCAGUGAUAUAUACAUAUAUGCUACAUAUGUAGCAGAAGAUGUUGAGAAAUAACUUUUCAUUGGAAUGCAGUGGCAUAGCAGUGGGGGCAUCUGAUGUACUAAAAGUCCAGUAGUGGCUGUAGUAGAAUUUGAAAAAAAUUCUGUCCUGAAGUCCUGUGCUGCAAUUUGCUCCAAACUGGUUAAUCAGCAUACUGAUUAAUGAUAUGCUUUUAUGUAAAAUUGCACGUUCUUGACUACAUUUAAUACUCAGAUGUACUCACAGUGGCUUUUAUUCCAAAUUAAUUUUAUUAAUUUUAACUAUUCCCACAAUUGCAAAUUAUGCAAUGUUUCAUUUUCUACACCUUAGGUACAAAAAUAAGCAGUGAAAUGACAUAAAAUAUGCUUCAGCUUCUACUAAAUUGUAGCACUUAAGGUAACAUUUAGUAAAACAGUUUAGCAUGAUGCAGGGAUCUUACACAGCAAUCUAUUAACAAAAGUAUUUUCCAACAUCAAUGCAUAAGUUUAAUAAUUAUAAAUAUUAAAUUUUCUUUCACUGAUGUACGGUUCAUGGCAGUGACUCUUGAGGUUAUUUGUAAAUACACCUGCCAGUCUUCUACCUAAAAGUGAAAAGAUGCAUUAUUGGAAUAUUUUUGUUGGAACAUUCUUUGGAGAACUUUUGUUUGCUUGUUUCUACACUUCAGUUUUUUUUCCUUACUUGUUUCCUUGAUCAAUUUUUUCUUGGCUUGACUUUUCCUGUCCUCUCCAUUUUGACUAUGAUUUUAUGCAUUUGAAUUUAUAUAUCUUAUCAUCAACAGUACCCGGUGUCUGCAGAUUGACAUGCAAUGUAAAUAUUACUAGUGAAAACUGGGGUUCUUCCAUUGUUUUCGGUGGCUAAGCACUGAAACGAACAUUUUUUCAGAAAAAGUGAAAAAAAGAAAUAACGAAGUAGAAAAUACAAAAUGAGAGUGAAAGCUACAAAAUGGGCUCAAGCUAUAAUGAAAAAAUAGUAGGAAUAGGUAGAUUUAAAAGAUCCUCUGCAAAUUAAAUUUUGUCUUCUUUCCAAAAUGAUGAAAGGUGUUUUCCACAGGCAGUUGCCCUUCCCACUAAAUGUAUAGACACUUUGCAAUCUGAUGUUACCAUAUGACUAUUUAGUAAACCUUCAUACUUUAGGGAAAUAAAAUAAAAUUUUAUCUGCUAUAAAUAGCUAUGUCUUUUUUAUAAAUAAAGAUAUUUUUUGCCUGUCAAGUAAUUCAGAGCUCUAUUAUUUUAGAGUUAUACUUUUCCAUGGACUACAUUUUUUCUCUUCUUUCUGUGCAUUAGUAAUACUUUCUCUCUGAUUUCUUAUUCUACAUAUGCAGAGGAAUACCUUAUUUGUUCUGUGCAGCUUUGUCUUUCACUCUUUCACUCUUUCACUCUUUCACUCUUUCGCAGUCUUUACUUUACACUAAUUUCUGUUCAUGUUGGUACUACUUAUUCCAACACUUUUCCCCCAUUUCCUAUUUUCUCUUCUGUUUGCCCCCAGGAAUAGUUUUUGCUGUCUCUCUUACCAUUUUGCAGAAGACUUGUGAUAAGAUACGUGGCCCCUCAGAUUCAAAUGAUGUAUCACAGGAAUACAUAGAGUUCAUCUUAAACAAGAGACAGAAAACUGUACAAAGGAAAUAACAUUUGAGACAUUUAUGUGCUAUCCAUCUACAUGUGUAUAUAGCAUUAACAAAGAUAAACAAGAUUAAGAUCAGGAUAUUCAGUUUAUUAUAAGGAAUUAAUAGGUUUAAGUAGGAGAGGUUGCCUGCUUAAUGUGUUAGGUAUUACAGUCUUAUACAGUGUGGAGUUUUACAGAGGUUUUUAGAUUUACUUGCCAUGUAUAUAAAAUGUUCUUCCGUCCAGCUGGUACUAAUUUCCUGAGAAAUAUGGGUGUGAGAAAAAUAAAGGUUUCCUAUGAAAAAAAGAAGGAAAAAAGGAGAAAGGAAGCAGUGCUUUUAUGUCUUGCUAUUAUUUCUCAUCAGUACAAGGCCUAAGGCUGUUGUGUGUAUAAGGACAAAAAUGAGUGAUGCAGGAGCAGUACUGUGACUGGCACAGAAACCUGAAAAAAUCAGAAAUCUGAGAAAUGGGACAGCACAGUCCUUUGUAGAAUCAAAUUGUUUGGAGAAUGGAAGGGAAAUUAGACUGAGCUGAAAGUCAGAAUGGGUGAAAAAAAGGACACACUGAUUUAAAAAAUGCUUUAUUGGGACUGCCAUAGGAUCUUCAUGGAUUGACACAAUAUUCAGUCAAAUAGUCUAAAAUAAUAACAUUUUUAAUUUAAUAUAUGAAUACAUAAAAUACAACCAAAAUAUAAGCCAAAGCCAAUUUCUUAAAAAAAGGCAAAAAGGGAAAAGCUUCGGUAAGACAUUGGCUUACCUAAGCUUUUGUAAUUUCUUAUAGGAAAUUACCUUGGUUUUGUAAUUUCUCCUAGCUUUCUAGAGUCUGCUUUCUCUCUUCUGUUAUACACGACAAAAACACUGCAAAAUAUUACAGAAGAUUGAUUAACACCAAGCCCAGUCAUUUAAAUAGUUUUUAGAAUAAUUUAAACAUAAGAGAAUUCCUCUAUUUCAAUAAUAUCUUCCUUUAAGUUUGGAUGGGGCUGGACUUAUGUACAUGUGAUUAAUUUGGAGUGAUGGAUACCUGUUCACUACAGUUUUGUUUUUAUGUUUCUCUAUGUACUUUUUUCCUGGAGCAUGCUGUCUUGCAUUUUGCGGUACAGUUAGAGCCAUAGAUGUGGAAAAUCCACUUCCAUCAUGUUUUUUCCAGCAAAGAGGAAUUAUAUCUCUGACCAUUAUUCUUUGGUCUCCACUUUAAAGCUAGUGGGAGGAAUAUGUAUAGAAAUGUUAAAGAUGUAUAGAAAAGAAUACAUGCAAAUAUUUUAGUUUAAGAUUUCUGUUGCUUUUGGGAAAGCAUUCUGUCAUACAGUUUUUUUAGAGAAACUGUGUUUGUGAAGGCAUACACACAUUUUGAGUGGAUGGAGCCUCGAAAAACAACACAUUGUUGUGAAUCAUAUUGUAGCUUUAAAUUAGAAGUCAGAUCUAAUGUUCAAGUUCAAGUUUAGGUGAGAAAUGUCCUUAUGGUUUUCUCUUAACUCUUCAAAUUCAGUUAAAAAAAAUCAAAAUUUCAAACUAUGAUUUUAUCUAUAGAGCUUUUUCCUUCAAUAUGUUCACAGCUGAUAUAGUUUUACCUUACUUAGAGGGGAAGAGAAAGCAUGAUAUUCCUUAGUGAAAUUCCUUUGAGGAAUUUCUUGUUUUCCAGCACCUGUCUAUGCUUCUAUCUCUGAAAUACUGUGACUUCGAACAAUACAGCCAUUUUUACAAGUGGCUGGAGUGUCAUAAUUUUGUUACUGUUGAAUACUUACCUGAGAAACCUUUAAAAUGCCAUAAAUCUAAAUGAAAUAAUCUCUGUGAAAAAUUACUCAUUUGUUCCAACAAGGAAACUUAUUUUUAUAUAAAAUUAUAAGAUAUUAUGAUUUCUUCUAGGUACAUAUCCAUCUCAAUCUUCCUCACUUAUAUAAUAGCAAUAUCAGAGGUCAGACUCUCCAAGAAUCUAAACAGUAUUUAAUUAUUUACAAUAGUUUAAAAUAAAUUUCAAUACAUACCUUUUUUUUAGGAAUUGUGUACUGGUUUUGCUUUAAGGCAACUUUAGUAUGAAAAGUAAGUGUGACAAAGAGACUGCAUAUAGUAUCCCCAUGUCAUGGUAUCAUGGGUAUCCCACUACUAAGUUGUGUACACCUAGAGCUAUCAUAUAAGAGUUUUUUCUAUUUCUCUGAUGUAAUUCUUGGCCAUUUGUUUAUGAUAAACCUUCAUUCGAUUUAAUCUUUCUAAA